rnacentral:rRNA from 1 species
GACGAACGCUGGCGGCAGGCUUAACACAUGCAAGUCGAACGGGUGUAGCAAUACAUCAGUGGCAGACGGGUGAGUAACACGUGGAAACCUUCCUAGGGGUACGGAACAACUCAGGGAAACUUGUGCUAAUACCGCAUACGCCCUGAGGGGGAAAGCGGGGGAUCGCAAGACCUCGCGCGAUUGGAGCGGCUGAUAUCAGAUUAGGUUGUUGGUGAGGUAAAAAGCUCACCAAGCCGACGAUCUGUAGCUGGUUUGAGAGAACGACCAGCCACACUGGGACUGAGACACGGCCCAGACUCCUACGGGAGGCAGCAGUGGGGAAUAUUGGACAAUGGGCGAAAGCCUGAUCCAGCAAUGCCGCGUGAGGGAUGAAGGCCUUCGGGUUGUAAACCUCUUUUAUCAGGGAAGAAGCGAAAGUGACGGUACCUGAAGAAAAAGCACCGGCUAACUACGUG